CAUCCAACUCGACCCUCAUGUAACCAUAUAAAGUACGAAGUCUGAACCAUUGUUGAUCGGUGUCAGUCCAUAGACUAUAAUUUAUUAAACAUCAAAUUCGAACAUGGCACAUUCAACAUGGCAGGUUCUUUCAACAAUUUCUAAUUGGAGUACUCAUCCAGGGAUUCGUCACAAGCAGGUUUCUUGCCUCGAUUGGAGGCAGUUCCCCAGGCGUCCGCAACAAAAUUUGCUACUUAUUGGGAUAUAUUCCCAAUAAGGAGUAAAAAUAAACGAAGUGAAGUCGGUCGCCUGGAACAUAAAAAAAAACUUGUGGAUGGUUAUGCUCUAGGCGGUCGCAGAAAAAACUACGAUACUUCCUAUACCGGGAUGCAACGCAGGUAAAGCAUCAUAAAGUGUGACGUUCAGCAUCAACGAAAGGUAAAUACUAUCCGCCAUGGUGUCCAAGUUGGGAUAGUAAAUAAAUUAAAGAACAAAUAAGAACCGAAAAAACUACAAAACAAAACAAAACGGAUAUACCAAAAACAACAGAAAAAUGGGUAUGGAUCAUCGACAUAAACAGGACCAUAAAAGUGAGUGACUACUGAGUCAUUUACAUUCAUUCAAUUCGGGUACGUACAUCAUUUUGUCUUAUUUUAAGUUGCAAUUGUGGAUUUAAAGUUUUGUUUCUUUUCAUUAUUUUUUUUUAUGCGCUGUGGGGAAAAACCCACGAUUGAAGCCGGGCACAAAAAAAAAAAGGUGUCUAGGUAUCGUCUAUUUUAUUACAACAACCACCGACGCCGCUUCAGUGAAGAUUGCCUCUAUUGCUGGAAGUUAAUGGGCUUUACCCAGAUGAAACCCAUCAGAGUUGCGUUACAAAAACAUUUUUCAACGAAUUUUUCGACAAAAAUAACUGGUGAGCAUUUUA